AUUAGCUAGUUGGUGAGGUAAUGGCUCACCAAGGCGACGAUCCCUAGCUGGUCUGAGAGGAUGAUCAGCCACACUGGAACUGAGACACGGUCCAGACUCCUACGGGAGGCAGCAGUGGGGAAUAUUGCACAAUGGGCGCAAGCCUGAUGCAGCCAUGCCGCGUGUAUGAAGAAGGCCUUCGGGUUGUAAAGUACUUUCAGUCGUGAGGAAGGCAUUAGAGUUAAUAGCUUUAGUGUUUGACGUUAGCGACAGAAGAAGCACCGGCUAACUCCGUGCCAGCAGCCGCGGUAAUACGGAGGGUGCGAGCGUUAAUCGGAAUUACUGGGCGUAAAGCGCAUGCAGGUGGUUUGUUAAGUCAGAUGUGAAAGCCCGGGGCUCAACCUCGGAACCGCAUUUGAAACUGGCAGGCUAGAGUACUGUAGAGGGGGGUAGAAUUUCAGGUGUAGCGGUGAAAUGCGUAGAGAUCUGAAGGAAUACCAGUGGCGAAGGCGGCCCCCUGGACAGAUACUGACACUCAGAUGCGAAAGCGUGGGGAGCAAACAGGAUUAGAUACCC
rnacentral:rRNA from 1 species